rnacentral:rRNA from 1 species
CAGCCGCCGCGGUAAUACGAAGGUCCCAAGCGUUGUUCGGAAUCACUGGGCGUAAAGGGAGCGUAGGCGGCGUGGUAAGUCAGAUGUGAAAUCCCGGGGCUCAACCCCGGAACUGCAUCCGAUACUGCCAUGCUUGAGGGUUGGAGAGGUGACUGGAAUUCUCGGUGUAGCAGUGAAAUGCGUGGAUAUCGAGAGGAACACUCGUGGCGAAGGCAAGUCACUGGACAACAUCUGACGCUGAGGCUCGAAGGCUAGGGUAGCGAAAGGGAUUAGAUACCCCCGUAGUACCUGUCUCUUAUAC